UUGAUUCUAACCAUGAAAGAAGCAAGUAUGAGUAAUAGUGAGUGUAGCAGUAUGUUUCAAUCACAUUUAAAUGUUAUUGGAAGUUUAUGCGUCGUUCAAAACCACUUAUGUAAAAUACAUGGUGGUGAAUCCGUUGGUAGAUUUGAAGGGCAUAUUACUAAGGUGGGUUGCGUGGGGCUGGGAGCUUUUUCCUGCUACUGUUUUGCUGCAGAUUGAUAAGUAUCUCAUCGAGGCUUGGUGCGGAAGACUUAUUCAUGCUGUGCAUUUUUUUUGUAUAGUCUGCCUGUGGUGUGUUUAAGGGAUGGUAGUGAGGCUUUUGUAUGCUUGGCAAUGUUAGGUGGUUAGUUUAUGAUAGCUAGCUUCAAUUUGGUCAUUUGCCACUAAAACAGAUUUCAAUAUUCUCCCCUCAUGUAUCUCAAUCCUUUAUAUCUAAUCCUAGCAAACAUGCUUACCCUAAUUUCCAAACCCUUAACCUACUUUUUUGGCUCCAAACUAUCCAGACCGUUAGAUCAUUGUAAUUAGGGGAGGUUAGCACAUGAGCCAUUGAUCAAAUCUCAUUCCUUGAAAAUUGAUACACGCGCAUAGGAAAACAAAACAGCUGCUGAUAACAAAACACAACACACGCGUUUUCUCUUUCCCAAAACAAGCACGCCUUUCUUCUUCUUCCUCUUAUCAUCGUCACCACCGCCAACCCUCUCCGCCCCAUCCAUAGGAAACCAAGCAUCUCACCAUCUCCUCUUCACACUCCACCCAAACAGACUCCUUUGAUUCUAACCAUGAAAGAAGCAAGUAUGAGUAAUAGUGAGUGUAGCAGUAUGUUUCAAUCACAUUUAAGUAGGUUUACUUUAUAUUUAUAACUCUGUCAUGCUUCCAAAACAUUUUAAAUUUUACUUUUCAUCAUUCAAAUUGUUUGAAGUCUAUAGUCUAUCUGACAUGACAUGAGAGAUAAAUUUAUUUGUGAAAUUGUCUCCACUCUUUUUACAUUCUUCAAUGAACUCUUUAACAAGUUACUUGCCAAUUAUGUUUCAAUUUGUAGCAGAUGUUAUUGGAAGUUUAUGCGUCGUUCAAAACCACUUAUGUAAAAUACAUGGUGGUGAAUCCGUUGGUAGAUUUGAAGGGCAUAUUACUAAGGUGGGUUGCGUGGGGCUGGGAGCUUUUUCCUGCUACUGUUUUGCUGCAGAUUGAUAAGUAUCUCAUCGAGGCUUGGUGCGGAAGACUUAUUCAUGCUGUGCAUUUUUUUUGUAUAGUCUGCCUGUGGUGUGUUUAAGGGAUGGUAGUGAGGCUUUUGUAUGCUUGGCAAUGUUAGGUGGUUAGUUUAUGAUAGCUAGCUUCAAUUUGGUCAUUUGCCACUAAAACAGAUUUCAAUAUUCUCCCCUCAUGUAUCUCAAUCCUUUAUAUCUAAUCCUAGCAAACAUGCUUACCCUAAUUUCCAAACCCUUAACCUACUUUUUUGGCUCCAAACUAUCCAGACCGUUAGAUCAUUGUAAUUAGGGGAGGUUAGCACAUGAGCCAUUGAUCAAAUCUCAUUCCUUGAAAAUUGAUACACGCGCAUAGGAAAACAAAACAGCUGCUGAUAACAAAACACAACACACGCGUUUUCUCUUUCCCAAAACAAGCACGCCUUUCUUCUUCUUCCUCUUAUCAUCGUCACCACCGCCAACCCUCUCCGCGCCAUCCAUAGGAAACCAAGCAUCUCACCAUCUCCUCUUCACACUCCACCCAAACAGACUCCUUUGAUUCUAACCAUGAAAGAAGCAAGUAUGAGUAAUAGUGAGUGUAGCAGUAUGUUUCAAUCACAUUUAAGUAGGUUUACUUUAUAUUUAUAACUCUGUCAUGCUUCCAAAACAUUUUAAAUUUUACUUUUCAUCAUUCAAAUUGUUUGAAGUCUAUAGUCUAUCUGACAUGACAUGAGAGAUAAAUUUAUUUGUGAAAUUGUCUCCACUCUUUUUACAUUCUUCAAUGAACUCUUUAACAAGUUACUUGCCAAUUAUGUUUCAAUUUGUAGCAGAUGUUAUUGGAAGUUUAUGCGUCGUUCAAAACCACUUAUGUAAAAUACAUGGUGGUGAAUCCGUUGGUAGAUUUGAAGGGCAUAUUACUAAGGUGGGUUGCGUGGGGCUGGGAGCUUUUUCCUGCUACUGUUUUGCUGCAGAUUGAUAAGUAUCUCAUCGAGGCUUGGUGCGGAAGACUUAUUCAUGCUGUGCAUUUUUUUUGUAUAGUCUGCCUGUGGUGUGUUUAAGGGAUGGUAGUGAGGCUUUUGUAUGCUUGGCAAUGUUAGGUGGUUAGUUUAUGAUAGCUAGCUUCAAUUUGGUCAUUUGCCACUAAAACAGAUUUCAAUAUUCUCCCCUCAUGUAUCUCAAUCCUUUAUAUCUAAUCCUAGCAAACAUGCUUACCCUAAUUUCCAAACCCUUAACCUACUUUUUUGGCUCCAAACUAUCCAGACCGUUAGAUCAUUGUAAUUAGGGGAGGUUAGCACAUGAGCCAUUGAUCAAAUCUCAUUCCUUGAAAAUUGAUACACGCGCAUAGGAAAACAAAACAGCUGCUGAUAACAAAACACAACACACGCGUUUUCUCUUUCCCAAAACAAGCACGCCUUUCUUCUUCUUCCUCUUAUCAUCGUCACCACCGCCAACCCUCUCCGCCCCAUCCAUAGGAAACCAAGCAUCUCACCAUCUCCUCUUCACACUCCACCCAAACAGACUCCUUUGAUUCUAACCAUGAAAGAAGCAAGUAUGAGUAAUAGUGAGUGUAGCAGUAUGUUUCAAUCACAUUUAAGUAGGUUUACUUUAUAUUUAUAACUCUGUCAUGCUUCCAAAACAUUUUAAAUUUUACUUUUCAUCAUUCAAAUUGUUUGAAGUCUAUAGUCUAUCUGACAUGACAUGAGAGAUAAAUUUAUUUGUGAAAUUGUCUCCACUCUUUUUACAUUCUUCAAUGAACUCUUUAACAAGUUACUUGCCAAUUAUGUUUCAAUUUGUAGCAGAUGUUAUUGGAAGUUUAUGCGUCGUUCAAAACCACUUAUGUAAAAUACAUGGUGGUGAAUCCGUUGGUAGAUUUGAAGGGCAUAUUACUAAGGUGGGUUGCGUGGGGCUGGGAGCUUUUUCCUGCUACUGUUUUGCUGCAGAUUGAUAAGUAUCUCAUCGAGGCUUGGUGCGGAAGACUUAUUCAUGCUGUGCAUUUUUUUUGUAUAGUCUGCCUGUGGUGUGUUUAAGGGAUGGUAGUGAGGCUUUUGUAUGCUUGGCAAUGUUAGGUGGUUAGUUUAUGAUAGCUAGCUUCAAUUUGGUCAUUUGCCACUAAAACAGAUUUCAAUAUUCUCCCCUCAUGUAUCUCAAUCCUUUAUAUCUAAUCCUAGCAAACAUGCUUACCCUAAUUUCCAAACCCUUAACCUACUUUUUUGGCUCCAAACUAUCCAGACCGUUAGAUCAUUGUAAUUAGGGGAGGUUAGCACAUGAGCCAUUGAUCAAAUCUCAUUCCUUGAAAAUUGAUACACGCGCAUAGGAAAACAAAACAGCUGCUGAUAACAAAACACAACACACGCGUUUUCUCUUUCCCAAAACAAGCACGCCUUUCUUCUUCUUCCUCUUAUCAUCGUCACCACCGCCAACCCUCUCCGCCCCAUCCAUAGGAAACCAAGCAUCUCACCAUCUCCUCUUCACACUCCACCCAAACAGACUCCUUUGAUUCUAACCAUGAAAGAAGCAAGUAUGAGUAAUAGUGAGUGUAGCAGUAUGUUUCAAUCACAUUUAAGUAGGUUUACUUUAUAUUUAUAACUCUGUCAUGCUUCCAAAACAUUUUAAAUUUUACUUUUCAUCAUUCAAAUUGUUUGAAGUCUAUAGUCUAUCUGACAUGACAUGAGAGAUAAAUUUAUUUGUGAAAUUGUCUCCACUCUUUUUACAUUCUUCAAUGAACUCUUUAACAAGUUACUUGCCAAUUAUGUUUCAAUUUGUAGCAGAUGUUAUUGGAAGUUUAUGCGUCGUUCAAAACCACUUAUGUAAAAUACAUGGUGGUGAAUCCGUUGGUAGAUUUGAAGGGCAUAUUACUAAGGUGGGUUGCGUGGGGCUGGGAGCUUUUUCCUGCUACUGUUUUGCUGCAGAUUGAUAAGUAUCUCAUCGAGGCUUGGUGCGGAAGACUUAUUCAUGCUGUGCAUUUUUUUUGUAUAGUCUGCCUGUGGUGUGUUUAAGGGAUGGUAGUGAGGCUUUUGUAUGCUUGGCAAUGUUAGGUGGUUAGUUUAUGAUAGCUAGCUUCAAUUUGGUCAUUUGCCACUAAAACAGAUUUCAAUAUUCUCCCCUCAUGUAUCUCAAUCCU